UACGUAGGUGGCAAGCGUUGUCCGGAUUUACUGGGCGUAAAGGAUGCGUAGGCGGACAUUUAAGUCAGAUGUGAAAUACCCGAGCUUAACUUGGGUGCUGCAUUUGAAACUGGGUGUCUAGAGUACAGGAGAGGUAAGUGGAAUUCCUAGUGUAGCGGUGAAAUGCGUAGAGAUUAGGAAGAACACCAGUGGCGAAGGCGACUUACUGGACUGUAACUGACGCUGAGGCAUGAAAGCGUGGGGAGCAAACAGG
rnacentral:rRNA from 1 species